rnacentral:rRNA from 1 species
UUUGGCAGUAAUAGUGCAAUAGUUCCACCUGAUCCCAUGCCGAACUCAGAAGUGAAAUGUUGUAACGCCGAUGGUAGUGUGGGAGCUUCCCAUGUGAGAGUAGGUCACUGCCAAUU